ensembl:lncRNA
CAGAUGUAAGUUGAGUCGGUGACAGAUCAGUAUUGACUCAAUAUUGACUGUACUGGAUAAGUACUGAAUCUGUAUUGGAUCAGAAUUUAAUCAUUAGGUCAGUACUGAAUCUGUAUUAGAUCAGUAUUGAAUCAUCAUUAGGUCAGUACUGAAUCUGUAUUAGAUCAGUAUUGAAUUAUCAUUAGGUCAGUACUGAAUCUGUAUUAUAUCAGUAUUGAAUCAACAUUAGGUCAGUAUUGAAUCUGUAUUAGAUCAGUAUUGAAUCAUCAUUAGGUCAGUACUGAAUCUGUAUUAGAUCAGUAUUGAAUCAACAUUAGGUCAGUACUGAAUCUGUAUUAGAUCAGUAUUGAAUCAUCAUUAGGUCAGUACUGAAUCUGUAUUAGAUCAGUAUUGAAUCAUCAUUAGGUCAGUGCUGAAUCUGUGU